GCCCACUUCAACAGCAUAUACUAAAACUGGAGCAAUAUAGGGAAGAUUAGCUUGGCCUCUGCACCAGUAUGGCAGAAAAAUUCAUGUUACAUAUUAAAAUACA
rnacentral:snRNA from 1 species